rnacentral:rRNA from 1 species
CACGUAGGGUCCGAGCGUUGUCCGGAUUUAUUGGGCGUAAAGGGCCCGUAGGCGGCUUGGUAAGUCGGGUGUGAAAACCCCAGGCUCAACCUGGGGACGCCGACCCGAUACUGCCAUGGCUUGAGUCUGGUAGGGGAGUGCGGAACUCCUGGUGUAGCGGUGAAAUGCAUAGAUAUCAGGAAGAACACCGGUGGCGAAGGCGGCACUCUGGGCCAGUACUGACGCUGAUGGGCGAAAGCGUGGGGAGCAAACAGG